AUUGAACGCUGGCGGAAUGCUUUACACAUGCAAGUCGAACGGCAGCACGGGGGCAGCCCUGGUGGCGAGUGGCGAACGGGUGAGUAAUACAUCGGAACGUGCCCGGUCGAGGGGGAUAACGUAGCGAAAGUUACGCUAAUACCGCAUACUAUCUGAGGAUGAAAGCGGGGGACCUUCGGGCCUCGCGCGAUCGGAGCGGCCGAUGUCAGAUUAGGUAGUUGGUGGGGUAAAGGCCUACCAAGCCGACGAUCUGUAGCUGGUCUGAGAGAACGACCAGCCACACUGGGACUGAGACACGGCCCAGACUCCUACGGGAGGCAGCAGUGGGGAAUUUUGGACAAUGGGCGCAAGCCUGAUCCAGCCAUUCCGCGUGCAGGACGAAGGCCUUCGGGUUGUAAACUGCUUUUGUACGGAAAGAAAAGGCUCUGGCUAAUACCUGGGGCUCAUGACGGUACCGUAAGAAUAAGCACCGGCUAACUACGUG
rnacentral:rRNA from 1 species